GUAUGCAAUCAUACAAGCACCAAUGCACCGGAUCCCAUCAAAAUUACGCAGUUAAGCGUGCUUGGGCACGAGUCGUACUAUGAUAGGAAACAACGACUUUGAUCUCGAAAAGAUAAAUGGGUUGAAAAAA
rnacentral:rRNA from 1 species